GUUCUGAAAAUAGGAACCCGUACGCAUCUGCCUCCUCAACUCGAACCCUCGCCUUUGCCCAUGCCGAGCCCUCUCCGCCGCCACACCUCAGCCCCCUCGCCGCCGCCACACCUCAGGCCCCUCGCCGCCACGGCAGCACCUCAGCCCGCCCGCCGCCCCCGUCGACGCGGUCGCACCUCAACCCGCUGGCCGUCCCCGCCCCGCCUCCGCGGUCGCACCUCUGCCCGAUCGCCGCACCCGUCGGAACCCAACGCCCCCUCCCCCCUCCAAUGGAUGCCGCCCCAACUACCUCAUCCAAUAGGACGCCGGCCGCGGCGUCACGAAGUUGCUGGCGUCGCCCAGUUCGCCGUGGGUGAAGGCGCCUCAGACGCAAGCGAAGCUGGAGCUUCUUCAACGUAUGCCUCACCAUGGGGCUCGCUGUGCUGCUGGUGGACAGCCGCGGUCUCGCUGGUGUGGUGCGAGACUUCCAGAUCACCCGGCGGCUGGGUUUGGAGGAUGGCGUUCCCACAACUCCUCAUCGGGGGUGAGCGCAGCAUGGAGCAGCAAGCCCAUAGCUCCCUCAACCAUCAUGCUAAUCUCUUCUUGUUAUUCAUCCUGAAUCUAUCGUACACAUACAGUACAUGCUUAUGUAUUGUCUCAAUGAUUAUCCUAUUUUUUUAGGAUUCAACUUGCGUUUUGUGCAAUGUCAUAUACUCAAUCAACAAGUUCUCAGUUUUUUUUGCAGGAUUUGUGUUUGUUCGGAUGCUUAGGUCGAUUGCCUGUUUUGUGCAGUUCCAUAGGGGCUGCAGGUGCAGCUGCAUCAAGCGAAUUGGCCGACGGCGUGCAAUGCAUAGACAAAGCAAAAGUCAGUAUGGAGCAAAUACGAGACAAUUUCACUUUGAUUUUGUUGUUAGUGACUGAUUGAGGCGUCAUUCCCACCACGGCGGUGACGGCAACCUUCGUUCCCCCUCCAGCCGCUGUGUCCGCAGCGUACCGCUCCAACGCCAUCUGACACAACCGUCUUGUGGUGGAGGAGGGCCACCUCGAUCACAUUGGGAAGCAGUGAGUGUGGGCUUCGCCACAUGUUCUGCCGAGUCAUCGAUGUCAGUUUGUAGGUUUGUGAGUGCACUGUCUGGUGCUUCUUUUUACGGUGUCCGUCAACCCAAGCACAGCGUGUUCCAAGUAUUAACUGAGAGAGUGUGCUCCCAUUGGGUUCUGCAUGCGGACACUUUGGCCGGUGAGGAAUAACUGGAAGUUUCUCUGAUUGUCGACAACAAGUUACCCCACUGCUCUGAAUAUUUACAUGGUUAAUGUGAGUUGAAUCAUCAAAGGUCUGCGCGUUGGUAAUGGUUGAAAAAUUCAUUGCAUUAGAGAAAACUGAACAGUCUAUCAGUUCUCUAAUAAUACAUAUUACAGAAUGUACCUUUCUGUUCGAUCAUAGGAUCACUGCACAACAGGCUUUGGAGCAGGCUCUGAUUCACGGAGAACUCCCCAGUAACCUCACCUUUAUUAGAUGGAUAUUGAAUCCAGUAAGCCUCCAAGAGAUAAACAAAGUCAAUUUUGUGUUGGUAGUUUGCAUUACAGGGUUCUACCUAAUUUAUGAUUGUGCCUACAACAGACUACCUCUGCCUGAAGAUUUGAGGUGUGACUCAAAUUUCGUGCUGUUAGAAAUCAACAAUGGAGAUUUCAGUUUUUUUUCAUGUAUAUUCAUACGGAUUUCAAGUUUAACAGAUCGUAAAAUUUUAUUCUUCAUACGGAUUUCAAGUUUAACAGAUCGUAAAAUUUUAUUCUAUAAUCAGAUCUUGGUAUGUUUUCAUAUUUUUCAGAGAAGAAAGAGGUCUAGAGGCGUGGACGUAUGUUUUUAGGGGGAAUCAAGUCUGCAGAAUAUACACUAAUUUGAGGAAUUCAGAUGUUACCCAUGGUCAUACAGGGAAAGUGUGAAGCACUCUGGACAAUUUUCCGCAUUUCUCAUCCAAGAAGCCGUUACAUUUAUGAUCUUUUCUAUAGAAGAAGGAAGGAUAUAUCUAAGGAGCUGUAUGAAUUUUGCCUGGGCCAGGAUUAUGCAGACCGUAAUCUGAUUACAAAGUGGAAAAAGGCUUCCUUUAGAUCCAAUGUACUUCAAGGCAUUGAUAGUGUCUACCGAAUUCAAGUGCUUGGAAGGAAUAUCGAUUGAUGUUCGUAGCUACACUUGUCUGCAAUGAGACGACGUACAGGAGCAAUAAGAAGGAUCUGAUGAUGUACUUAUGGGCUGCCGAGCAGAACCACAAAUAGCCGUUUCUCCUUUGCUGCAUCAAGGUCAGGAACCUCCAGACUCAUUGCUUUUUGGUCUUUAUUUUGUUGGUAAAUAAAUCGUAGUGCAGUGAAUUACAUAGAAUGGAGGGACUUGAGAUCUUUUUUAUGUCUAGGUGAAUAACAGAAUUUUUUUUCUUUAACAUAGCAUUCUGUUUUGCUAUUCCAAACGUGCUUGCCAAUGUGCUCUUUAUCGAACAAUCUUUUGGCCUUCAAUGUUUCGAACCACUGUUUGUCACAGUUUUUUAGAUCGGUUGUAGAUUUUAUUGACCCCCUCACCUAAACGUGGAAUUGAGUGAUUUUGUUUACUUUCGAAAGCUUAAGUCAAUAAGCAUAUGGAGAAAAAAUUAUUAAAAAUUUGGUAAAAAAUUCAGAGGAUAAAUUGAAGAGAGAAGUUUCAUUGUCCCUGUUUUGGAGCUUAUAUUUUUGUUAUCGAGAGCUAGGUUUGUUGUUCCUUUUGUGCAAUUAAGCUCGUGCCGCUGGAACCAUGUGUACAUUUAAUCAUGGCAUCGGGGUCCACAGAUGUUGUUACGACACGAAAUGUUUGAUGAUUAUCAUUGCAGAUGCCCUCAAGCUCAGGAAUACUCUUAUUAUGUCUUUGAUUCUGUUAAAGACCCAAUAUAUGAUGAGGUGCUGCCUCUCCUGAUGCUGAGCUAUUUAGAAUUUGGUAUUUCACAUAUUUUUUUGUCUGGCCAGUAAAUUUCACAAACAUAACUGCAGGCCAUCUGCUCCUGCGCAAUGAAACUGUUUCAAAAUUCCUAUUGUGUUUGACACCCUGAACCACUUUAUUAGAUAACAGCUUAUAACUUCCACUUCUUUUUUAUCGACUAUAUAUGCUCUAUGGAUGUCGACAAAUUUGAUUGCAGGGGCUAGCAAUGCUUCAUUUCAAGCUACUGUAAUAACUGUUGUUGGUUAGUUACCUCUGAUCCUAGCAAGUGAAAUUAGAACUGAUACAUGUACAGGAUUGUUGUUUUUAGUCGCACAGAUUGACACAUGUAUGAAUAAGUUUCAGUUUUAGAUUGGUGUAUUGAUCAUGGCUAUUUUGUGGAAGAGCUCUUGCAGGCAUUGAGCAUACUUAUGUUCUCUGUAAAUUGGUACUCCCUCCGUUUUUUAAUAUAAGAUGUUUUAGGUGUUUCACAUGUUGUCUAGAUUCAUACUAAAUGAAUGAAUGUACACACUAGAACAUGUUUAGAUACAUUUGAUACGUAUGGAAUGUGGCCAAAAGCUAAAACAUCUUAUAUUUAUGAACGGAGGGAGUACUAUAUAAAAAGGAUGUUCCAUUUUCUGUAAAUUGAUAGAAAAUGGAUGCAGGUGUGACCUUGGGGAAGAAAGAGCCGGAUGGCAAAUGAAAGACUGGGAGGACUAGGGAUUCUUCUUUGCAGGUGGUAAGGUGGAGACCCUGCUUAGGGAACAUGUUGCGUACAUCCUCGCUGCUUUUCUUCUUUCAGUUUUAGAUACUUUCCAGCAGGCGUGUACCUAUCUUGCUAUGUACUGAAUUCUUUGCAACUAUGUUGCAAACUGUAUUAGGAGACAGAUAAUCAGGAAGAUAUAUAAUUCGUGUGUGUAUUAAUUAAUUAUUACCAUCACCUAGCUAGCUUGACGUGAAAGAUCGAGGCAAUUUUUUACUGUA